rnacentral:rRNA from 1 species
GUAGGUGGCGAGCGUUAUCAGGAAUGAUUGGGCGUAAAGGGUGCGCAGGCGGCGCAUUAAGUUUGAAGUAAAAGGUAGCGGCUCAACCGCUGCAAGCUUCGAAAACUGGUGUGCUGGAGUGCAGGAGAGGGCAGUGGAAUUCCAUGUGUAGCGGUAAAAUGCGUAGAUAUAUGGAGGAACACCGGUGGCGAAGGCGGCUGCCUGGCCUGUAACUGACGCUGAGGCACGAAAGCGUGGGGAGCAAA